rnacentral:lncRNA from 1 species
AGGCUUUGAAACCCAGAGGCAAUUUCCUAUCAAAGAGCUGGUCAAGGCUGCAGUGAGGUCUUUCUUUGGAGAGCUGGUUGAAAUACUGCCAGCGUAUCUGAUUCAGUAUAGAUACUCUAGAAUGAAGGCUUGCCUGAAGAUCCUAUCCUCAUUAAAGUACAAAAUGUAAAAUGGAAUCUUUGGUAUGUUAUUGUAAAAAUACUUUAUUUCAAUCAGGAUUUCUUCCCCUCUGUGACCAUUUAGCUCCCAGAUAAAAGACACCCACAACCUUUAUAUAUAAUAAAUUUUAAUCAGCUUUUUCCAUGUACUUUAUUAUUUUUAUGUUUUGUUUUAUAACUUCAUAUGGGAAUAUAUCAUAUUUAUAUCUCUUUCAUGCUUCCAAAAGCAUUAUUAGUUGAGAAUGUUAUAUAUGUAUACAAUAAUAUAUGAUCAUAUUCACACAUCUUUUCACUUUUUACUCACGCUGGAGCCUCCACCAACACAUCCAUUCUCCUCCCCACUUCAUUUUCUCUUCUUUUUUCUAAAUGAAAUUCUCUACUAAGUCUAAUUAGUUUUCCCAUAUGCUCAUGAAUAUGAGACUGUCCACUGGAGAGUAGACAGCAUACUAGUGGCCACCUCACCAAACAACAAUCCAUUCUUCCCCAGCAAUUAUCAAUGGACAUAAGCACCUCAGUACCUCAGAGCUUCAUGGGGUGCUCCACACUCUAUUUUGGCUGGCUGGUUUCUCUAUAGGUACCCAGAGACUCUGUGGAUUCAGGAUAGUCAUAACCAUGCCGUUUCCUGAAGAACACAUUCCACAGCACACCUUCAUGUCCUCCAGUCUUGACAUUCUUUUAAUCUCCUCUUCUGUGAUAUGCCCUGAGCCUUAGCAAGUUCGGGUGCAUUAGGGUGGGGAAGGUUGUUAACAGGUAUGUUGUGCUCACAGCAAAACACUCCUAAAUUGUUGAACAGUUGUGAAUUUUGGCACUAACAAUGUGUACUGGGAAGAAAAGCUUCUCUGGACAAAGUUGGGAGCAGCCUAGGUCUUGUAGGUGUAAACAUAAUCUUUAUGAAACAGUCUGACAGUUUAUAAAAAUAACAGCAUCAGGUUCCGCUCUAGGGUCUAUGACUUCACCAGGAGUAGAACAGAAUAAUGGUACCAGGCUUGACUUCCCUUCUGGAGGAAAAGACUGCAAAUCAAUCAGAAGGCAUGGAGUUGCCACACAAUAGUAACCAACAACACAGGUGCAUUAGUUGCACCAUUAGACCUAUCUUGCCUGGCAGAUCAAUAUUGCACUAUGCAACAUUCAGUGAUAGGUGUCUGCCACCUAGCCCCAGGACUCUAGCUUGGUUCCCCAGCAACCACAUGCUAGAACAGACUAUCCCAGGUUGUUUGCUGACCUUUCCUCAAGUACUCACCUCCACACUUGUGCCAUGACACACUUUCCUACCCCCAAUUAAAGAAUUUCAAAUAAAUAAAUAUAAUAAAAAUUUUUAAAAAUGUGAUCUUUUCAAAGUUGCAAUCUACUGUCUAAAACUACCAAUUCUAUACCAUAAUUAGAAGAUUAAAACUAAAUCUAAGACUGGGGUGUGAAUCUUUAUAUGUUAACUUUCCACAAUCCUCCAAUUUCAUCCUAAAGUACAGAUUUCUGGAGUGCUGAUAGUAGUGAAAGGAAAAGGUUGACAAGAACUUACAUUUUCCUUGACCUUGAAAAUAACAACAAAAUUUUGCCUAUGGAAAAGGAAGGGCUAGAACAUGUGAUAGGCAAGAUAAAAAUCAGGAGACUCGAUUCAUCUUCCAAAUACAUUCCACACUUCUAUACUGACUAUAAAGAACUUCUCAACACAUAUCAGCAUAUAAUGCAGAAAGCAUAUAGUCCUGUGACUAUUUGAUAUGUCAAAACAAUGAAUUUUAUUCACAUGACUACAGUGUACCCAGCAUCUCUGUGAGAUUCCAGCUUAGUUAAGAUAGCUGUGACGACGACGGGUGAAUUAAAGUCUGCUGCUACAUUUUUCUUCAUUGUACCAGUUUCUUAACAAAAGAUAAAUGGUUGGCUCUAGCCAUCAGUACAAGAAAGUGGAGAAAAUACACAUCAUGUAGCCUGAGGACAGAAAAGGCAGUAAGCCUGAACUCUCCUCAGUGGCUCAAUUGGGGGAGGAGGGGCUGCUCUGAACACUGGGAGUUGGGAGCGAAUCUAAUUAUCACUCUCUUAUGUUCAUUAAUAGGUCGGAAUAAGUUAACUUCUCAAAGGAGCAAGGAGACAUUACAAUGUUGUGGCUGAAUUAUUAGGCUGCAUUAUAAUAACUUAAAUAUUAUGUUCACAAUUUUUUAAAUGUCCUUUAUGAGGCUGGGCAGGUUGGGAGAGAUGAACAUCAAAUACG